AUGCAAAGGAAGACUUUAUCGUCUAGUCCAGACCGAAUGGCAUUUCUCAAAAUAUCACCUUUGUUUUUCCUUCCCCAGAUGAAAAUGAAAAGUGAAAUACUCCAGGAAAUAGACAGGGAGCAAUGCACACGCACACAGCUUCUCCCACAGAGGAGCAGCGAGGCUCUGACACACCUAUUUAAAAAGGGCAUCCAAACCCAACCCAUAGUAUCCUCAGCUAACGCAAGAAAUUUCCCCCACUCCGUUCCCUGCUUUUUGAAAGUGUCUCUGGGCAGCCGGAUCUGGGAUUCAUCAGCAUUUCUCCCCACCUCCCACGAACGCGCGGCACCAGCGCACAUGGUCCCUUGGCGGCAUUUUUGCAAACCCCACCAGCGCCAACGCCUCGAAACCGCCAAACUUCCUGCCUCCACACCACCAAAGCGACCAAAGCGACGCGCCAAGAGCCGGAGGGACUCCAGCGGAGGCUGCAGGCAGCGCCGGAGCCGUGGGGCGUGGUUUCCUGCUCGCAGGAGCGCCCGGGACCCGCACCUCCACUGGGGGUCCCCAGACGUGCGCGCUGCGCCCGGGGCGCAAAGGAGCGCCCGCUCUGGCCGCGUCUCGCCGUCGCGCCCCCGUAGCGUGCUGGAGACACCCAGGGCAGCCGCCCACCUACCUGCUCUGCUGUCUCCUCCCUCGGGCGCUCGGGGGUCGUCGACCGCUACUUUAUUGUCUCGGCUGCUCACUGCGCGGGACGUGGGGACCCGGCUCUGCGCCAGCCCUGCAACUCGGUUCAGCGCAGCGCCUUUCCCGGCGGUUGCCUUCCUCUUCGUUCUCCUCUCUGCUGGGGUUCCUGCUCAGCACGUGAGCCGCGCAGCCCGACUCCCCGGCGCGCUGGGCAGCCAGCGCCCGCCGCAUCCCCCUGCCCAGGGCCGCUCGUCGCCCCCGCCGCCGCUCGUCGCGCGUCCUCGCUUUGAUCCACACUUACAGUUGUGCCCCGGGCCGCCUUCCUCGCGUCCUUCCGUCCUUCCGUCCUGCCUGCCUCCUCUCGCUGUCAGCCCCGCUCUGGGCUCCUCUCUCCCCAGCUGCCCCCGCCCGCCGCCUCUCCGGGGGCUGGGGCGGCCGCUGCCAAUGAGACUCGGCUGA
rnacentral:lncRNA from 1 species